UAAAAUUUUUCAUAUAUUGAAUUUAUUUUAAUAUAUAAAAUUUAUACAAAAAUGUAUUCAAAACCCACACACUUUAUAACCAUAAAAAAACGUUAUAUCUUUGUAUAUAAUAUAAAAAAAC
rnacentral:misc_RNA from 1 species